rnacentral:lncRNA from 1 species
CAUCCCACCUGUUUCCUGCUAUUCUUCCACAGGAAGCUCGGGGCCGCGGGCCCCUUCUCCCUCAAACCAGAGCUUGGCGCCCACUGACACACACCCAAACACACGCUUCUCAGCAGGGCGUUGUAAUACUAUGUGCACUCCCUCGUGUGUUACUAUUAUAUCCAACAGGAAACAGAUUUGGACAUACUGGUUAAUGCUUCAACCAAACUCACUCGCUCAAGAAUAUUUCCAUAGUUGUUCGGCUUUGUUUUUCAUAUUUUACACAUACAUAAGUACUGUAAAUAUUUCCUGAUAUCUGGGAUAUAUACGACCGGUCCUGUGUAGGUGGAUGAGAGUAAAACCCAUUUGGAUUGAGACAUGGAGCAGCUCUUUUUUCUUCUCAUUCCCUUGUUUGCAUCUUCAUCCAUAAUCUCAGCAGAAGUCCAAACUGAAAAAACUGUGACUUACACUUUGUCAUCUCAUUAUGAGAAUGGCAUGACCAGUCACACCUCAAAAACUGUGAGCACAACCACAGCUCCUGUAUCUUCUAGCCACACAGGCAGUACUGAUGGAUCCAGCCUCUCUUCGCAUACCACAUCAGGACAGUCCAUCAUCACCAGCUCCACGUUAACCACACUAAAAUCCUACACUGACACAACUUUAAAUUCCACCUCAUCCCCAGCGGCCAAAAUAACAGGCAGUACUGAUGGAUCCGGCCUCUCUUCACAUAACACAUCAGUGGGUGUUUCUCUGCUUCCAAAGACUUCAGCAACCGCUAAUUCAAACAUCAGCAUGUCAGAGGUGACUGCAACACCUUCACAGGCACCAGACAGCGGUCUCACUUUGCUCGCCUUUGGUGUGAUGAGUCUUAUACUCAUUUUAAUUGUUGUCAUGGUGGUCUUGGUGACCGCUAUCAACCUCAGGGGACGGUGUAGAAAUACUAAACAGCAUGAGGGUAUUAAAAGCUGUGAUUUUGUGGUGUCUGACAGCAUGACCAGCUACUGUGAGAAAGAGAGCAUCACUCUUGUCUCUGUGAGGACAAUAAACACAGAAAACAAUACAGAUUCUCCCCAGAUGUCUUCAGUUCGUAGCACUAUAGUGGAUAAUGAUGACCAAGAAUUUACCAGAGACCUGCUGGGCAUCAAAGAUGGACUGUGAUUUUACUCAGUUCGUAGUGCACGAGAUUGGAGGCUGCAUACUCUAUUUAUACUAUUAAAUGAAUGUGAAUUAAUGUGCCUUUAGCUAAUGGUCAGUGUACAGACCACACAUCAUGUUUAUGACAUGCAUUGAUGCACUCACUGCAUUUAAAAUAUCUCAUGCUCUCAUAUAUUAAACAUGACACAUGCUUCAUUGAUAAAUAAAAUGUCACUUUUGUGUUCA